GACAGAGGAUGCAAGCGUUAUCCGGAAUGAUUGGGCGUAAAGCGUCUGUAGGUGGCUUUUUAAGUCCGCCGUCAAAUCCCAGGCUCAACCCUGGACAGGCGGUGGAAACUACCAAGCUGGAGUACGGUAGGGGCAGAGGGAAUUCCGGUGGAGCGUGAAAUGCGUAGAGAUCGGAAGAACACCAACGGCGAAAGCACUCUGCUGGCCGACACUGACACGAGAGACGAAAGCUAGGGAGCGAAUGG
rnacentral:rRNA from 1 species